rnacentral:tRNA from 2 species
GGAGGAAUACCCAAGUCCGGCUGAAGGGAUCGGUCUUGAAAACUGACAGGGGCUUAACGGCUCGCGGGGGUUCGAAUCCCUCUUCCUCCGCCA